UAGGGAAUAUUCCGCAAUGGACGCAAGUCUGACGGAGCAACGCCGCGUGCGGGAAGAAGGAGUUAGGUUCGUAAAACUCUGUUGUUAGAGGAGAACAGCGCAUAGAGUAACUGUGAUGCGCGUGACGGUAGCUAAACAGACAGCCACGGCUAACUACGUGCCAGCAGCCGCGUUAAUACGUAGGUGGCAAGCGUUGUCCGGAUUUAUUGGGCGUAAAGGGAGCGCAGGCGGGCAAUUAAGUCUGAUGUGAAAGCCCCCGGCUUAACCGGGGAGGGUCAAUGGAAACUGGUGUACUUGAGUGCAGAAGAGGAGGGUGGAAUUCCAUGUGUAGCGGUGAAAUGCGUAGAUAUAUGGAAGAACACCAGUGGCGAAGGCGACUCUCUGGUCUGUAACUGACGCUGAGGUUCGAAAGCGUGGGUAGCAAACAGG
rnacentral:rRNA from 1 species